rfam:Coprinopsis cinerea okayama7#130 chromosome 4 cont3.4, whole genome shotgun sequence.
GCCCGCCUAGCUCAAUCGGAUAGAGCGUCAGACUCUUACAAACCGUCUAGGAUAGGGUACAGACCUUCCUUGUUUGGAUAUACGGAAAUCUGAAGGCUGCGAGUUCGACCCUCGCGGUGGGCU